GUCCUAGAAGAUAUGGCCAACUAUGAAAACAUUCCUUUACAGGUGUGAAUGUUUUUUUUUUUACCCGCAGAAAACGUUCAUACAUCCGAGUUAAUGCAGCAAGUUCUUUAAUUAUGAAAUCAUUAGAAAAUAAAAAUUCUUUUUGUUUUGGUAACUAUGUGACAUUUUUAACUGUUAAUUUCCCUAGAUGCAGAGUGCCGACAGAUUUGUUGCAAAACGUAACGGUUAUUUGACAUUGAUUGCUUUAUCG
rnacentral:lncRNA from 1 species